rnacentral:rRNA from 1 species
AGUAACACGUGGGUAACCUACCUAUAAGACUGGGAUAACUCCGGGAAACCGGGGCUAAUACCGGAUAAUAUUUUGAACCGCAUGGUUCAAUAGUGAAAGACGGUUUCGGCUGUCACUUAUAGAUGGACCCGCGCCGUAUUAGCUAGUUGGUAAGGUAACGGCUUACCAAGGCGACGAUACGUAGCCGACCUGAGAGGGUGAUCGGCCACACUGGAACUGAGACACGGUCCAGACUCCUACGGGAGGCAGCAGUAGGGAAUCUUCCGCAAUGGGCGAAAGCCUGACGGAGCAACGCCGCGUGAGUGAUGAAGGUCUUCGGAUCGUAAAACUCUGUUGUUAGGGAAGAACAAAUUUGUUAGUAACUGAACAAGUCUUGACGGUACCUAACCAGAAAGCCACGGCUAACUACGUGCCAGCAGCCGCGGUAAUACGUAGGUGGCAAGCGUUAUCCGGAAUUAUUGGGCGUAAAGCGCGCGUAGGCGGUUUCUUAAGUCUGAUGUGAAAGCCCACGGCUCAACCGUGGAGGGUCAUUGGAAACUGGGAAACUUGAGUGCAGAAGAGGAGAGUGGAAUUCCAUGUGUAGCGGUGAAAUGCGCAGAGAUAUGGAGGAACACCAGUGGCGAAGGCGGCUCUCUGGUCUGUAACUGACGCUGAUG